UAGUUCGGGAUAGCCACUGGAAACGGUGAUUAAUACCGGAUACUCCUUCUUGUUAUAAGACAAGUCGGGAAAGUUUUUCGCUAAGGGAUCAGUCUAUGUUCCAUCAGCUUGUUGGUGAGGUAAUGGCUCACCAAGGCUAUGACGGAUAUCUGGUUUGAGAGGAUGAUCAGACACACUGGAACUGAGACACGGUCCAGACUCCUACGGGAGGCAGCAGUGAGGAAUAUUGCACAAUGGAGGAAACUCUGAUGCAGCAACGCCGCGUGGAGGAUGACGCAUUUCGGUGUGUAAACUCCUUUUAUUAGGGAAGAUAAUGACGGUACCUAAUGAAUAAGCACCGGCUAACUCCGUGCCAGCAGCCGCGGUAAUACGGAGGGUGCAAGCGUUACUCGGAAUCACUGGGCGUAAAGGGUGCGUAGGCUGGCUUUUAAGUCAGAUGUGAAAUCCAAUGGCUCAACCAUUGAACUGCAUUUGAAACUGAAAGCCUAGAGUUCAGAAGGGGCAGAUGGAAUUAGUGGUGUAGGGGUAAAAUCCGUAGAUAUCACUAGGAAUAUCAAAAGCGAAGGCGAUCUGCUGGGAUGAUACUGACGCU
rnacentral:rRNA from 1 species